GACGAACGCUGGCGGCGUGCCUAAUACAUGCAAGUAGAACGCUGAAGAGAGGAGCUUGCUCUUCUUGGAUGAGUUGCGAACGGGUGAGUAACGCGUAGGUAACCUGCCUUGUAGCGGGGGAUAACUAUUGGAAACGAUAGCUAAUACCGCAUAACAAUGGAUGACACAUGUCAUUUAUUUGAAAGGGGCAAUUGCUCCACUACAAGAUGGACCUGCGUUGUAUUAGCUAGUAGGUGAGGUAAUGGCUCACCUAGGCGACGAUACAUAGCCGACCUGAGAGGGGGAUCGGCCACACUGGGACUGAGACACGGCCCAGACUCCUACGGGAGGCAGCAGUAGGGAAUCUUCGGCAAUGGGGGCAACCCUGACCGAGCAACGCCGCGUGAGUGAAGAAGGUUUUCGGAUCGUAAAGCUCGGUUGUAAGUCAAGAACGGGUGUGAGAGUGGAAAGUUCACACUGUGACGGUAGCUUACCAGAAAGGGACGGCUAACUACGUG
rnacentral:rRNA from 1 species